AAGUCGUAACAAGGUUUCCGUAGGUGAACCUGCGGAAGGAUCAUUACCAAUAUAGCGAACCGAGCGUUAGCGAGGCUUCGCGAUCAAAUUUGUAUUUAAAACCCAACUCUUUAAAUGUAUAUAUUAUUAUUGUAUUUUAAAUAAUAAAAGAUCACUUUCAACAACGGAUCUCUUGGCUCUC
rnacentral:misc_RNA from 1 species